CCCACCCUUAGGCGCUGGGAGAAGGGAGGGUGGGGAGGUCAGGGGCCUCUCAGAGGGGCCUCACUUGUUAACCCAGCCCCCAUUUCAGGUCUGAAGGGGCGUCUCGAUUACCUGAGCUCUCUGAAGGUGAAGGGCCUUGUGCUGGGUCCAAUUCACAAGAACCAGAAGGAUGAUGUCGCUCAGACUGACUUGCUGCAGAUCGACCCCAAUUUUGGCUCCAAGGAAGAUUUUGACAGUCUCUUGCAAUCGGCUAAAAAAAAGAGCAUCCGUGUCAUUCUGGACCUUACUCCCAACUACCGGGGUGAGAACUCGUGGUUCUCCACUCAGGUUGACACUGUGGCCACCAAGGUGAAGGAUGCUCUGGAGUUUUGGCUGCAAGCUGGCGUGGAUGGGUUCCAGGUUCGGGACAUAGAGAAUCUGAAGGAUGCAUCCUCAUUCUUGGCUGAGUGGCAAAAUAUCACCAAGGGCUUCAGUGAAGACAGGCUCUUGAUUGCGGGGACUAACUCCUCCGACCUUCAGCAGAUCCUGAGCCUACUCGAAUCCAACAAAGACUUGCUGUUGACUAGCUCAUACCUGUCUGAUUCUGGUUCUACUGGGGAGCAUACAAAAUCCCUAGUCACACAGUAUUUGAAUGCCACUGGCAAUCGCUGGUGCAGCUGGAGUUUGUCUCAGGCAAGGCUCCUGACUUCCUUCUUGCCGGCUCAACUUCUCCGACUCUACCAGCUGAUGCUCUUCACCCUGCCAGGGACCCCUGUUUUCAGCUACGGGGAUGAGAUUGGCCUGGAUGCAGCUGCCCUUCCUGGACAGGCUGGAGUGCAGUGGCAUGAUCUUGGUUCAUUGCAGCCUCCGCCUCCCAGGCCGAAGUGAUCAUCC
rnacentral:lncRNA from 1 species